rnacentral:rRNA from 1 species
CAGUAGCCGCGGUAAUACGAAGGGUGCAAGCGUUAAUCGGAAUUACUGGGCGUAAAGCGCGCGUAGGUGGUUUGGUAAGAUGGAUGUGAAAUCCCCGGGCUCAACCUGGGAACUGCAUCCAUAACUGCCUGACUAGAGUACGGUAGAGGGUGGUGGAAUUUCCUGUGUAGCGGUGAAAUGCGUAGAUAUAGGAAGGAACACCAGUGGCGAAGGCGACCACCUGGACUGAUACUGACACUGAGGUGCGAAAGCGUGGGGAGCAAACAGGAUUAGAUACCCGAGUAGUCCCUGUCUCUUAUAC